UUAGCCAUUAAGUGUGAGAACGGUCGGCGUAUAAAAGCCACACUGUAAACACGGCCGGCAGUAAGUGGAAAAGGGACCAUUGCGGCAUGACCAACACUCUGCUCAAGGCGCUGGUGGUGGUGCUGGUGGCAGCGGCCGCAUUGGUACACUGUGCGCCCCCUGAGGUGGCGCAAAAUGCAGCAGCAGCAUCCCGUGAGGACCAGGAGAGCUCGGAGACUGCCUGGGUUGGCUUUGGGUUCGGCUGGCCCUUCUGGAAUUGGGGGUGGGACUGGGGCAGCUGGCCCUGGGGCGUAUUCGAUUGGUGGUGAUGAAGAGACGCAGAUGAAAAAGCUAUAAAGAACGUUAUAAUUAUCUUUAGGCAAUACACACAGACGAAAGAUGUACGAAAGCUAUUUAAAAAUAAACUGUAUUGAUGUAAA